GUUUCCUUGUCUCAAAAUGAUACACGCCUCUCCCAAGUCGGCGAUACUUUAACUAUUUAUAAUUUUAUAUGAAAGCAAUAUCGCUCUUUCAUUCUCAAGGUCCGUUUCAUCGUCUCCUAUAGUCUCCUCGCUCCUUUUUUCUCCGAUCGAUCUAUGGCCUAGGCGUCAUAGACCGGGCAGAACGCAGAUGAUUUGGUCAUGGCGGUCUCGAUUUAGCAUCAGAUCUACAAGUUUUGGAGCUCCAUGAGCACGAUCUACAUGUUUUGGACAGAAAGCAGAUGAUUUGUCAUGGCAGUCUCGAUUUAGCAUUAGAUCUGCAAGUUUUGGAGCUCCAUGAGCACGAGUCUUGAAGGUUCUACUGUUGAUGCAACUUGUGAUGAUUUGAGUUCCUGGGACAUGGUGGAUGCUGAGCGUUGGUCUUGUUGUCUUGAUGUUUCAGUUUCGUGAAGGUUAUGAGCAACGAGAGGGUUUGUGAUUAUAUCUGCUAUGCAAUUUUGUUCGAUUAUUAUUGUUGUCUGUGAUUAUCUGGCGUAUGAGUUAAUACCUUCAUAAGUAGGAUGAUGGAUCGAUGGUUGUGGGAGGCUGAGAAGAUGUUUGGUUCGAUUGAUGUGUGAUUCUGUUUGUCGUCUGGCCUUUGCCAUGACAGGUGCGCUUGCAUGGCAGGUCAAAAGCUUAAUAAAAUAUUUAUUUUUGUGUUUUUUAGGGGGGAGAUGGCACGGGAUAUAAUUAUUUUGGUCUAUUUAUUUUGCCCGGCUCUCCCCCCUGUGUUCGUGUGUUCGUGUCUGCUCUCUCUCUCUCUCUCUCUACCUUUUUAUCCUCUUCCUGCCAUCACUGCUUUACAUAUUUAUAAUUCUAUCACCUCUCGGGGAUGGUUUCCGAUUCAAACAUCAUUUGCAACGAAGGCAAUGAAGGCAACAACUAUUUCCUGAAUCAGAAUUAUUCUUCAUCUUCAUGAAAGCACACUUAUGAGGUAUAACACUUUCAAAUAUCUUUAUUAACUGAUCUUUUUAGAUAUUAUAACGAAUUGCUUCCCAUAUCAUUAGAUAUUCUCACAGUAAUAAUAUGAUGGAACGUUGUUUAUAUAGUAUUAACGAAUUUCUUUACAUAUUAUUCAAUGUUCUCACAGUGAUAAUAUGAUGGAACACACUUCGGAUUUUACAACGAAUUGCUUUACAUAUUAUUGAAUCUUCUCACAGAAAUAUCAUUAAGAUCCAUUUUUUAUCCAUUUUAAUUUAAUUAUCAUUGACUGGCAGAAAUAUCAACUUAUUUUUGAAAAUAGCGGUCUCUUGAAAGAAUCAUCUGACUAACAUAUUGUACAGCAGCAGCUGAUUGCUUAAGCUAGUAAUGUUCUAAUUAUUCGUGCCCUUUGUCACGUGUUUCACAUGCACUAUUUCACUGUUAGCUAUCUAAUAUACCAAGUCUUGUUUUCAAUGGAAUGCUCGUGCUCCAGUCCGGUCAACCUUUUUGCCAAUUGGAGCAUAGGGUGGCUAUAUUUUUUCUUCUUGCGCCUACAUCGGUUUUAACUAACUCUUUAAAAUCAUCCAAUCAAAAUAAUGAACAUCAUAGAAUUUGGUAACAGAAUGCGGUAAUUUGAAGACUGCAACUGCUGUCGAUGACACGCUGUAAGAUGGUUCGCCAAAUUGAUAGAAGUUGAGUAGGCACUCUAAUUCUAUUUUGCUGUUUGCAUAAAUUUGAGGUUUACCUUCUGCAGCUUACCAUUUUCUUGCACUUAACAAUUUAGUUUUUCAAUUAUUAAUUUUUGUUCCAAUAUUUUUAUGGACCAAAAAUAUUUGUUCUGUGGCUUGGGGUUGGGGUUUUCUUUUUUUGGUUAGAUGAUGUUACUUGUCCUUGCUUACAUGUUAAGCAAUGUUAGUGUAGCGGUGGGGAAUGGUUGCUUUCCCCCAUAAUCUAAUGUGUAUGCUGUAAGAUUGGUGAUUGGAAUUUGUAUCAGCAUGGAAUGUACUUGCUUUAUCUACCUAGUUGGCCAUGGUUCUUAGAUGCUCCUGCUCCAACUGUGAGUUCUGUUUCUUGUGACCUGUUUCAAGUUGAUCAUGAAGGCUCUGCUCACGAUGUGAAGGUUGGCUUCUCAGCAGGAUUUUGGAUCAAGCGUCAAUUGUUUAUACAAAGGGAUGGCAGCCUUACAGAUGAUACCUGUGGUUUCUUGUGAUUGGGUUGAUUUAACUGCUCCAUGUUUCUGAGAGAGGGAUGUGUAUCCAACUGUUACUCAGACUUCUUAUUUUGUCCUCUCUUCUACUAUGUGCCAAAUCGGCGGCUGUGCUACUGAGCUACUUUCCUGCCUGUUGCAGUUCCUCAUCUGCUUCAACGUCUUAGUUGCUUCCAAGUUGCCAUGCUGGAUUGCAAUUAUAUACUAAUUUCGCUGUAUUGCAAUUAUGUGCUAAUUGUCGGUUUAGUGGUGCGUCUAAGUAUUUUUAACAAUUAUUGUGGCCUACGAUCGAGACAAGCUUGUUACACAAAUGAUCCCUAGUCUCACAAUCCGCAGUUGUUGUCUAGGAGGCCUCAGUCACUUCUGCAGCUAGUCUUUCUUUUUUUGGCUUGGUUGUCUCUCUCGGCAAAGAUAGCUGUGUUUGUUUACAAGAUGGUGUUGUCAUAAGUUUUUGCAAUGCGUCUUUACCUAUUGUAAGGUGUCUUCUGCUGCUUUUGCAUGAUUGAAUAUGUGAAAGCGGGUGAAAAUAUGCUUUGCUGUAUAAAGUACUGUCGGAGGCUUCCUAAUUUAUUUGCACGGAAUUUCAGUGUACGAGUAGAACAGGUUGAAUGGAUUGAAUUACGGCUGUGUAAGGUAGAGCAUAUUGGAUUUGUGGAUUUCUGAACGUUGCUUCUGUCCGCUACUUGAGUUCAUGCUGUUCUUAAAUCAGCCUGUUGGUUUGGUAUCAUUUGCCCCUCCGUUUUUUCUGUUUAUGAUCUUAUGGCUGUCUCGAGCUAAUGUUUUUUGCAGUUUUUUGGAUGUCACGUGGUAGAUUCAUCUCAUUUGAGCGAAACGGAAAUGUAGGGAAAAUUUCAAAAGAAAAUGGUAGGUAAUAAAAACUGAGCUGGCGUGUGGAAGAUGUAAUGUUUGCUCGAAUGGGAACAUCGAAUUCUCUCGAUACCGUUUGAUUUUAAUGAGCCUGUUGUUACUGUGUAUGGUUUUAAGAUUUUUUUAUUCUUAUGUUUGUUCCUCUUUAAUGACUUUUUUUUUUUAAUUUCUUUAAAGGAUCUGGGAAAUCUUUUAUUACUGGGCUCAAUUUCUAUAACUGAGAAAUCUUUAUUUACUGGGCUCAAUUUCUAUAACUAAGAUAAUUAAAUUCUCUCUCGAUUUUUCAUUUGAGAAAUUAUUUUGUUAAGAUCUUGUUCUGACUCGCGGUUAUGUCAAAGGGCAAUAUAUUAUUUUAGAGUUAAAAUUUGAAAUAAUUAAGAAAACCGAGUUUGAUUUAUUAGCUGCUGGUGGCAUAAGUAAAAGACAAAUAAUAGUUUCCAUUAUAUUUUGUAGGGUAAUUGAGAGAGUUUAAAUAGCUUAUGUAUUUAAACUAGUACAGGGUCGGGUUCCAAUGAAGGGUAUGUUUAUGAAAAAAGGAAUAUUACAUGUGUCAUGUAGACCCAUUAGCUCUAACCUGGUGUUUUGAAGAAGAAAGCAUCAUUCUUCACUGGAAUAAUUAUUCAAACCCCACAAAGUCAUUUUGCUAGUUGUUUAUCAGUUGAAGCCUCUGGGUGCUUGCCCUGAAACUUUUCCGCAAAGGAACCUGUUGCUUCCUCUCAGUCCACCUUCCUUGGAUAUUAUUUGGUUGCACCUUUUUUCCUGUUUUUUGUUCCUUUUCUAGUGGGGACUGAUUCCCUGGUUCAUACCGCGUUGUCAUUUUUCCUUCGGUUUUCUUCCUUUUUUGUUUUUUCAGUUGACCUACUUGGAAUAUUUAAAUUUUCUUUUUC